GCUCUGUGUGCUCACUCUCUGUCUGUCACCCCCUUCUCUCUCUCUCUCUCUCUCUCUCUCUCUCUCUCUCUCUCUCUCUCUCUCUCUCUCUCUCUCUCUCUCUCUCUCUCUCUCUCUGUUUUUGCUCUUCUCUUGUUUAUGCAUGUGUGAAUUUGUGAUGCAUUUUCUCUGCCUGUUGUGUGCAUGUGUGAAUUUGUGAUGCAUUUUCUCUGCCUGUUGUGUGCUUGAUCUGCCCAGAAAACCUUGCAUCUUUUUUGUUUGCUGUAGUUGUUUUAAGGUUUCAAAGUACAACCUCAGUGAACAUAUGUUUUCUUUUUUGGGUUUUACCAGAUCUUCUAUGUUUGUACUUUUAUACGCAGCUGAUAAUUUGCCCCCAGCGAAAUGGAAGAAGCUAGGGUUGAAUUGAAUUUAAUAACAAAAUUUUUCCCCUUAAUUUUUUUUUUGUGUAACUGACCGAUAGAUCCUGCUCUUGUACUUUUUUCGGUACUUAAAAUGACAAAAGGUCUGUACUUUCACCAUCCAAAAAUUACAGUGUCCAAGAAUUCUGUCUUCCUCAAAUAAUUUAUUAGUGAGUAGUGAGAUCUUUUUUGUUUUUUGUUUUUUGUUCUUUUGGUUCUGUGUUUUUGAGUUUUAGCAGAUCUAGACUUCCUGUUUCAGAAAAACCAUCUCCAAGGUUGUAGAUUCCCCAGAAGAAUCAGAUCUAUCAGUUUAUUCUUCUUCUCCUUUCAAUCAUAUUUCAUUUCACCUUCUUCUUUACAUUGUUUAUGUUGGAGUUUUUCCUUUUCCAUUUUCCUUUUUUGGGUUUUUGCAGGGUGAUGCAUUUUGAGAUGGGUUCUUUACAGGAGUGGCAAUUUCAAUUGAUCCUGAGGUAUAUAGUUUCACAACCCAUAUGGACCAAUUGUGACUGAAGUACUCUCAUAAGUUAGAACUCUCAGUCUCAAACGAACUAAGGGCGAGCUAGAGCACUAUAAGAUCAGCAGCAAAGUAGCGAGUGACAAGAUCAUAUCCAGAAUCUUGUGAUGGCAUAAUAAGUGUAUCUUCAUGUACUUGCAAUCUGAAAAUGCUUUCUUGCUGAUUGGAUCAUGCACCUCGGUGGUGCAGAGCCAUCUCUCUUUUUGGAUAUAUGGAAUUAGAAUGGAUGUCAAAUAGGGCAUGAAUGUUCAUUGUUCUGAACAUAGCUCAGAACUCAUGUUGGCUGCAUUACUCUCGAUGAUGCUAUUACUUAAGUUAGCAAUUUAUCUUCAUUGAUGUGUUAUAUUAUCACUGGAUUCUCAGAGCACUUGUUUAAGCUUUACUAUAUGGACAGAAAAUUUGUACCUUGAGACGAUGAAGUGUUGUAAUUUUACCUCCA